UCCACUAUAGACACACACUGCAUUCACUAUACAGACUAUACAGAGACACACUGCAUCCUCUAUAUAUGCACGCACAAACAUUGCAUCCACUAUACACACACACUGCAUCCUCAAUACACACACACACUGCAUCCAAUAUACACAUAGACUACAUCCACUAUUCACACACACUGCAUCCACUAUACAGACACACUACGUCCACUAUACACACACUACACACACUACAUCCACUAUACACACACACACUGCAUCCACUAUACAAACUAUACAGAGACACACUGCAUCCUCUAAAUAUGCACGCACAAACAUUGCAUCCACUAUGCACACAAACUGCAUCCACUAUGCACACAAACUGCAUCCACUAUACACACACACUACAUCCACUAUACACACACACUGCAUCCACUAUACAGACACACACUGCAUCCUCUCUACACACACACUGCAUCCACUAUACACACACACUACAUCCACUAUACACACACUGCAUCCACUAUACAGACACACUGCAUCCACUAUACAGACACACACUACAUCCACUAUACACACACACUGCAUUCACUAUACAGACUAUACAGAGACACACUGCAUCCUCUAUAUAUGCACGCACAAACAUUGCAUCCAUUAUAGACACACACUGCAUCCACUAUACACACACACUACAUCCACUAUACACACACAAUGCAUUAACUAUACAGACACACUACAUCCACUAUACAGACACACAAGCAUCCACUAUACACACACAUUGCAUCCACCAUACAGACUAUACAGAGACACACUGCAUCCUCUAUAUAUGCACACACAAACAUUGCAUCCACUAUAGACACACACUGCACCCACUUUACUUAUCCUAAUGGGUGGCUUCGAGGGCAAGCCCAGUGGGCCCAGGCCUUGAACUGUGUAAGUGGUUUAUUCACUGAGUAUUAAACUGGAGUGAACUGGCAAAUGAAUCACAAGAUAAUUUAAUAAUUUGAACUAAAUUAGUUGAGUCAGUGCACUGUAUGGGGUUAUGGUGCUAAUAGAAGUUCCUAAACAGGAGCUUCUGGACCUCUGACUGUAGAGGAGACAAGGAGAAGUGCUCAGCAGACCCAGGUAAGAAAUCAAUCCAUAAUAAAAUGUUUUGACUACUUACAAUAGGGUGGUGCCACGCACUCCUGGUAUCAUAACCACUACUACACACUGUGACUUUAAUGGCUGGCUGAGCAUCAUGGGACAGAAAAUAAAUCUGCAGAAAUUGGCAAUCACUGAUUCAGAACAUUAACAGGGAAUGUUUAAAACAAUGUACGCAUGAAAAAUCUCUUUAGUGAUU